AGCGAACGCUGGCGGCAGGCUUAACACAUGCAAGUCGAGCGGGCAUCUUCGGAUGUCAGCGGCAGACGGGUGAGUAACACGUGGGAACGUACCCUUCGGUUCGGAACAACUCUGGGAAACUGGAGCUAAUACCGGAUACGCCCUUAUGGGGAAAGGUUUACUGCCGAAGGAUCGGCCCGCGUCUGAUUAGCUAGUUGGUGGGGUAACGGCCUACCAAGGCGACGAUCAGUAGCUGGUCUGAGAGGAUGAUCAGCCACACUGGGACUGAGACACGGCCCAGACUCCUACGGGAGGCAGCAGUGGGGAAUAUUGGACAAUGGGCGCAAGCCUGGUCCAGCCAUGCCGCGUGAGUGAUGAAGGCCUUAGGGUUGUAAAGCUCUUUUGUCCGGGACGAUAAUGACGGUACCGGAAGAAUAAGCCCCGGCUAACUUCGUG
rnacentral:rRNA from 1 species